rnacentral:lncRNA from 1 species
UUCCUGAUCCUAGUGCCACUGUUCCCAUGUAAAUAGCUGGUGUUUCCAAGCCUGCUGCAUUCCCCUGCCCUUCUCUGUUUGUCUCUGUAAAUAGCAAUGCCAGAGCAUGUCCAGGGCACAAAGAGUGGCUUGAGCAAGAGUUCCCAGCAACAACGGAUCACACUGGGAGCUCUGAGCGUGUUUGGAAGCAGCAUUUUUGAAAGUUUCCUGGGAUCUUAUUGUCCUCAUCUGCCCUUCUUUUUUAAGAAUGGGACCCUAGUGUGAAGAUCCAGACACUUGGAGCUCACAGCACCAACCUCACAAACAAGGAGGCGUCUUGCUUCCUUGGCUGCGUUUGGGCAGAGAACCAGCUUUCAGAUCACACUGGAGUAUCAGCAAGCAAAGGCACAAGAGGAUGAGUACACCCCAACCCUGAAGGUGUGUGACAAGUCUCCUCCCGUUCAUUCACUUGACAUUGCAUUAAGUAUCGACAAGGGGAUUCUUACGCCAUUUGCAGAACUGUGGCAGUAGAGAUUAGAAGGUAGGUGUGGCAGGAAACAUUUUCAGAGCAGGAGGUGCACAGCACAGUACUCUGACAACAGAGUAGGGCACAAUGAAACUAGUUCUCAUCAGUGUGACAAAAGGCAACACUUCCUACAGCACAGAACCUAUAAAACAACGAUGAGGCCCCUGGAAUGGCUCCAGAAAACCAAGGAAUGGAUUUCCAACACACCACCCCCUUUAGCAAAAUGCAACCUAUCUGCUCUGUGCAAGGUAAAAAGCUUAUGUUAGUCCAAGCUUGGUAGCUGCAGCAGGUGCAGACUUUUGGCUGGCUUCCUUGGAGUGCAGCAUUCACAGUGGGAAACAGGGUUUUCAAAAGGCUGGGAUCUCACUCGGGCAACAAAUCCAGUUUCCAGGUUUUAAAAACAGAGCUUAUCAUGCUGAGAGUGAGCAUGUUUGAAAAACAGGACCUGUAAGGACAGACACUAGAAGUCGUCCAAAGCCACUGGACAUACUAAACCUGUGGUGGCAGCAUCUUGUACAGAACAUUCCUGUGCCAGUGCCUCAAAAAAUGAUGCUUCAAAAUUCCUCUCACUCUCUCUUAGAAUCAUAGAAUCAUAGAAUUACUCAGGAGGGAAAAGACCUUCAAGAUCAUCAAGUCCAACCGCAACUCUUGGCAAGACUCCCAGGCAGACUCCCAGCCAUCUAGGCAGCCGACUUCAUAAUUUAAGCCCCAUAGUAUGCAGCUAUUUCUACAUUUUUAUGUUAAAAAAAAAAAACACUC